AUCUGGGAGGCCACAAACCAUGGAAGCUGUACGCAUGGCGUAGUGGACUAGCGGUUAGAGGAGACCCCUCCCUUGCAAAUCGCAGCAACAAUGGGGGCCCAAGGUGAGAUGAAGCUGUAGUCUCACUGGAAGGACUAGAGGUUAGAGGAGACCCCCCCGAAACAAAAAACAGCAUAUUGACGCUGGGAAAGACCAGAGAUCCUGCUGUCUCCUCAGCAUCAUUCCAGGCACAGAACGCCAGAAAAUGGAAUGGUGCUGUUGAAUCAACAGGUUCU
rnacentral:lncRNA from 1 species